ACGCUAGCGGCAGGCCUAACACAUGCAAGUCGAGGGAGAAGCCCUUCGGGGCAGAAACCGGCGCACGGGUGCGUAACGCGUAUGCAACCUACCUUUCACAGGGGGAUAGCCCGAAGAAAUUUGGAUUGAUACCCCAUAAUAUUAUUGGAUGGCAUCAUUUGAUAAUUAAAAUUACGAUGGUGAAAGAUGGGCAUGCGUCCUAUUAGCUAGUUGGAGUGGUAACGGCACCCCAAGGCUACGAUAGGUAGGGGUCCUGAGAGGGAGAUCCCCCACACUGGUACUGAGACAGGGACCAGACUCCUACGGGAGGCAGCAGUGAGGAAUAUUGGUCAAUGGUCGGAAGACUGAACCAGCCAUGCCGCGUGCAGGAAGAAUGCCUUAUGGGUUGUAAACUGCUUUUAUAUGGGAAGAAUAAGGAGUACGUGUACUUUGAUGACGGUACCAUAUGAAUAAGCAUCGGCUAACUCCGUGCCAGCAGCCGCGGUAAUACGGAGGAUGCGAGCGUUAUUCGGAAUCAUUGGGUUUAAAGGGUCUGUAGGCGGGCUAUUAAGUCAGGGGUGAAAGGUUUCAGCUUAACUGAGAAAUUGCCUUUGAUACUGGUAGUCUUGAAUAUCUGUGAAGUUCUUGGAAUGUGUAGUGUAGCGGUGAAAUGCUUAGAUAUUACACAGAACACCGAUUGCGGAGGCAGGGGACUAACAGACGAUUGGCGCUGAGAGACGAAAGCGUGGGGAGCGAACAGGAUUAGAUACCCUGGUAGUCCACGCUGUAAACGAUGGAUACUAGCUGUUUGGAGUAAUUUGAGUGGCUAAGCGAAAGUGAUAAGUAUCCCACCUGGGGAGUACGCACGCAAGUGUGAAACUCAAAGGAAUUGACGGGGGCCCGCACAAGCGGUGGAGCAUGUGGUUUAAUUCGAUGAU
rnacentral:rRNA from 1 species